rnacentral:rRNA from 1 species
GAGCAAACAGGAUUAGAUACCUGGUAGUCCACGCUGUAAACGAUGUCGAUUUGGAGUUUGUUGCCUAGAGUGAUGGGCUCCGAAGCUAACGCGAUAAAUCGACCGCUGGGGAGUACGGCCGCAAGGUUAAAACUCAAAUGAAUUGACGGGGGCCCGCACAAGCGGUGGAGCAUGUGGUUUAAUUCGAUGCAACGCGAAGAACCUUACCUGGUCUUGACAUCCAUAGAAUUCUGCAGAGAUGUGGGAGUGCCUUCGGGAACUAUGAGACAGGUGCUGCAUGGCUGUCGUCAGCUCGUGUUGUGAAAUGUUGGGUUAAGUCCCGCAACGAGCGCAACCCUUAUUCUUUGUUGCCAGCGAUUUGGUCGGGAACUCAAAGGAGACUGCCGUUGAUAAAGCGGAGGAAGGUGGGGACGACGUCAAGUCAUCAUGGCCCUUACGACCAGGGCUACACACGUGCUACAAUGGCGUAUACAAAGGGAAGCGAAGGUGCGAGCUGGAGCGGAUCUCAUAAAGUACGUCUAAGUUCGGAUUGGAGUCUGCAACUCGACUCCAUGAAGUCGGAAUCGCUAGUAAUCGUAGAUCAGAAUGCUACGGUGAAUACGUUCCCGGGCCUUGUACACACCGCCCGUCACACCAUGGGAGUGGGUUGCACCAGAAGUAGAUAGCUUAACCGCGAGGGGGGCGUUUACCACGGUGUGAUUCAUGACUGGGGUGAAGUCGUAACAAGGUAACCA